rnacentral:ncRNA from 1 species
AUAAAGGUGCCUCGUAUUAAAGACGGGGUUAAAAGGGAAGCCGAUUCAAUGUCGGCGCGGUCCCGCCACUGUAAGUGUGAGCUAGUCGCAAUUUGUCACUGGAAAAGUUCCGGGAAGACGCGAUCAGCAAUGAACACAAGCCAGGAGACCUGCCUUUAUG